AUGAACGCUGGCGGCGUGCCUAAUACAUGCAAGUCGAGCGAACAGAUAAGGAGCUUGCUCCUUUGACGUUAGCGGCGGACGGGUGAGUAACACGUGGGUAACCUACCUAUAAGACUGGGAUAACUUCGGGGAACCGGAGCUAAUACCGGAUAACAUUUGGAACCGCAUGGUUCUAAAGUGAAAGAUGGUUUUGCUAUCACUUAUAGAUGGACCCGCGCCGUAUUAGCUAGUUGGUAAGGUAACGGCUUACCAAGGCAACGAUACGUAGCCGACCUGAGAGGGUGAUCGGCCACACUGGAACUGAGACACGGUCCAGACUCCUACGGGAGGCAGCAGUAGGGAAUCUUCCGCAAUGGGCGAAAGCCUGACGGAGCAACGCCGCGUGAGUGAUGAAGGGUUUCGGCUCGUAAAACUCUGUUAUUAGGGAAGAACAAACGUGUAAGUAAUUGUGCACGUCUUGACGGUACCUAAUCAGAAAGCCACGGCUAACUACGUG
rnacentral:rRNA from 1 species